CCCUUAGAUGUCCUGGGCCGCACGCGCGCUACACUGAGUGUCUGAGAUACGAGUCUGCCUGGUCCGGCAAGGUCUAGGUAAUCGCUAAAAGACACAUCAUGCUUGGGAUAGAUUAUUGCAAAUAUUGAUCUUGAACGAGGAAUUCCUAGUAAGCGCAAGUCAACAGCUUGCGUUGAUUACGUCCCUGCCCUUUGUACACACCGCCCGUCGCUACUACUGAUUGGAUGUUUAAGCGAGGUUCUCGAACUGCUAGCGACUUAGCUUCGGUGAGGUUGCAGUGUGGGAAGUGAACCUAGCUUUGGUGUCUAGAGGAAGUAAAAGUCGUAACA
rnacentral:rRNA from 1 species